UCUGUUUUUAUUCAAUUAUUUAUGUCGUGAAAUGAAGGAUACAUAGCUUAUAAGAUUCUCCCAACAACUAGCUUCAUCCACUAGUAUCAAUCCACUUAAAAACAAACAAAUAGAAAAAGAUGAAGCUUAAAUUCCAGGAGUCAUGGCUACCAUCAAAUUGAUAGGGAAUUGUUAACUGCCUUGUUUCUUGUACUUGCCAUCUAGUAGAAAAACUCUAUAUCAAAAGCUGGAGAUGCAAUGGUCAAUUAACAGCAUAAAGAAACAUACAAAUGCCUUCUGGGAAACAUCAGCAGCCGAAAGAUGAGCCCUGCAAUAGGAUCAACAUCAUUUUUAGUGCGACUUUAUGCUUAGGUCAUUUCAGUAAGGGUCCUGACAGCUGCAAAAGUGAUUUUUCUAAUCACAACUUUAGUGGCCAUAUGUGCUCCCCAGAUGGGUCCAUGUCCACUCCUAAUCCUUCUGGUGAUAGGAGUAAGGACCACCACUGAAACCUCAAUCAAUCCUGUACCAAAACAAACUUCAGAAUAGUCUUAUAUCCCAAUCACUUUGGAGGUAUCGGAUGGUUAAUGUCAUUUAUUUUAUU
rnacentral:lncRNA from 1 species